CAUCCUACGGGGCGCAGCAGUGGGGAAUAUUGGGCAAUGGGCGCAAGCCUGACCCAGCAACGCCGCGUGAAGGAAGAAGGCUUUCGGGUUGUAAACUUCUUUUAAGAGGGAAGAGCAGAAGACGGUACCUCUUGAAUAAGCCACGGCUAACUACGUGCCAGCAGCCGCGGUAAUACGUAGGGAGCAAGCGUUGUCCGGAUUUACUGGGUGUAAAGGGUGCGUAGGCGGCCUUGCAAGUCAGAAGUGAAAUCCAUGGGCUUAACCCGUGAACUGCUUUUGAAACUGUAGGGCUUGAGUGAAGUAGA
rnacentral:rRNA from 1 species